GAGCGUAUGAUCUAGGGGUAUAAUAUUCGCUUUGUAUAUCUGAUUCUUCAGAGUUCUUUCUACGCCUGCGAAGGUUCCGGGGUUCAAUUCCCCGUUUGUCCA